rnacentral:misc_RNA from 1 species
GGAAGGAUCAUUAAAGAGUAAGGGUGCUCGUCGCCCGACCUCCAACCCUCUGUUGUUAAAACUACCUUGUUGCUUUGGCGGGACCGCUCGGUCUCGAGCCGCAGGGGCUUCGGCCCAGGCGAGCGCCCGCCAGAGUUAAACCAAACUCUUGUUUUUAUAACCGGUCGUCUGAGUAAAAAUUUUGAAUAAAUCAAAACUUUCAACAACGGAUCUCUUGGUUCUCGCAUCGAUGAAGAACGCAGCGAAAUGCGAUAAGUAAUGUGAAUUGCAGAAUUCAGUGAAUCAUCGAAUCUUUGAACGCACAUUGCGCCCCUUGGUAUUCCGAGGGGCAUGCCUGUUCGAGCGUCAUUACACCACUCAAGCACUGCUUGGUAUUGGGCCCCGUCCCCCUCCUCUUGGGGGGCGAGCCUCAAAGACCUCGGCGAGGCCUCACCGGCUUUAGGCGUAGUAGAAUUACUUCGAACGUCUUUAAAAGGGGAGGACUUCUGCCGACAGAAGCCUUUAAUUUUUCUAAGGUUGACCUCGGAUCAGGUAGGGAUACCCGCUGAACUUAAGCAUAUCAAUAAGCGGAGGAAAAGAAACCAACAGGGAUUGCCCUAGUAACGGCGAGUGAAGCGGCAACAGCUCAAAUUUGAAAGCUGGCCUUCGGGUCCGCAUUGUAAUUUGUAGAGGAUGCUUUGGGGCAGCCGCCUGUCUAAGUUCCUUGGAACAGGACGUCAUAGAGGGUGAGAAUCCCGUAUGUGACAGGACAUGGCACCCUAUGUAAAGCUCCUUCGACGAGUCGAGUUGUUUGGGAAUGCAGCUCUAAAUGGGAGGUAAAUUUCUUCUAAAGCUAAAUACCGGCGAGAGACCGAUAGCGCACAAGUAGAGUGAUCGAAAGAUGAAAAGCACUUUGGAAAGAGAGUUAAAAAGCACGUGAAAUUGUUGAAAGGGAAGCGCUUGCAAUCAGACUUGUUUUGACUGUUCGGCCGGUCUUCUGACCGGUUUACUCAGUCUGGACAGGCCAGCAUCAGUUUUGGCGGCCGGAUAAAGGCUCAGGGAAUGUGGCUCUCACUUCGGUGGGAGUGUUAUAGCCCUGGGUGUAAUACGGCCAGCCGGGACUGAGGUCCGCGCUUCGGCUAGGAUGCUGGCGUAAUGGUUGUAAGCGACCCGUCUUGAAACACGGACCAAGGAGUCUAACAUCUAUGCGAGUGUUCGGGUGUCAAACCCCUGCGCGUAAUGAAAGUGAACGGAGGUGGGAACCGCAAGGUGCACCAUCGACCGAUCCUGAUGUCUUCGGAUGGAUUUGAGUAAGAGCAUAGCUGUUGGGACCCGAAAGAUGGUGAACUAUGCCUGAAUAGGGUGAAGCCAGAGGAAACUCUGGUGGAGGCUCGCAGCGGUUCUGACGUGCAAAUCGAUCGUCAAAUUUGGGUAUAGGGGCGAAAGACUAAUCGAACCAUCUAGUAGCUGGUUCCUGC